AAACCGCUUUCCUGGACCUGUCAUGCCCAUCAGAAACGUGUACAAGAAAGAGAAGGCCCGCGUGAUUUCAGAGGACGAGAAGAACUUCAAGGCCUUUGCCAGCCUGCGUAUGGCCCGUGCCAACGCCCGUCUGUUCGGCAUCCGUGCCAAGAGGGCGAAGGAGGCCGCAGAGCAGGGAUCCCGAAA